rnacentral:rRNA from 1 species
GAUGAACGCUAGCGGCAGGCUUAAUACAUGCAAGUCGUGGGGCAGCAUGAAUGUAGCAAUACAUUUGAUGGCGACCGGCAAACGGGUGCGGAACACGUACACAACCUUCCUACAAGUGGGGAAUAGCCCAGAGAAAUUUGGAUUAAUACCCCGUAACAUAUAGAAAUGGCAUCAUUUUUAUAUUAUAGCUACGGCGCUUGUUGAUGGGUGUGCGGCUGAUUAGAUAGUUGGCGGGGUAACGGCCCACCAAGUCUACGAUCAGUAGCUGAUGCGAGAGCAUGAUCAGCCACACGGGCACUGAGACACGGGCCCGAAUCCUACGGGAGGCAGCAGUAAGGAAUAUUGGUCAAUGGACGCAAGUCUGAACCAGCCAUGCCGCGUGAAGGAUUAAGGUCCUCUGGAUUGUAAACUCCUUUUAUCUGGGACGAAAAAAGAUUUUUCUAAGUCACUUGACGGUACCAGAUGGAUAAGCACCGGCUAACUCCGUGCCAGCAGCCGCCGUAAGAC